rnacentral:rRNA from 1 species
UACGAAGGUCCCAAGCGUUGUUCGGAAUCACUGGGCGUAAAGGGAGCGUAGGCGGCGUGGUAAGUCAGAUGUGAAAUCCCGGGGCUCAACCCCCGGAACUGCAUCCGAUACUGCCGUGCUUGAGGGUUGGAGAGGUAGCUGGAAUUAUCGGUGUAGCAGUGAAAUGCGUGGAUAUCGAUAGGAACACUCGUGGCGAAGGCGAGCUACUGGACAACAUCUGACGCUGAGGCUCGAAGGCUAGGGGAGCAAAAGGG